AAUACGUCAAAGUUCAAUUCUUUUAGACCCAAUGUGAAAACCACUUUUAUCCGCUUCGGCAGCGGGCACCUGAGCCGUCCGUAACUUAAGUCUGACUUAGUUACUGAGCGGUUCCUGUGACGUAAGCCUGCCGGCAGCAAACCUAUUAAACUCGCUUUUGAACAUUGUCUGCGAAACAUCAUUUACGAAUGAAUAUCA
rnacentral:misc_RNA from 1 species